rnacentral:ncRNA from 1 species
ACGGACGACGAUUAAUAGGGAAUCGGGUGCAAAUCCCGGACAGUCCCGCUGCUGUGAAGCUCAGUUCAAUGUCUUAUAAAUGAACUAAUUUGAUGCCACUGAUGUUCUAUCGGGAAGGCAAAUAAGACAAGAGUCAGUCAGAAGACCUGCCAUUUCACGUA